CACGGAGUUAGCCGGGGCUUAUUCUCCCGGUACAGUCAUUAUCUUCCCGGGUAAAGAGCUUUACAACCCUAGGGCCUUCAUCACUCACGCGGCAUUGCUGGAUCAGGCUUUCGCCCAUUGUCCAAUAUUCCCCACUGCUGCCUCCCGUAGGAGUCUGGGCCGUGUCUCAGUCCCAGUGUGGCUGAUCAUCCUCUCAGACCAGCUAUGGAUCGUCGGCUUGGUAGGCCUUUACCCCACCAACUACCUAAUCCAACGCGGGCUCAUCCUCAGGCAAUAAAUCUUUGGACUUUCGUCAUCAUCCGGUAUUAGCAGCCGUUUCCAGCUGUUAUUCCGAACCUAAGGGCAGAUUCCCACGCGUUACGCACCCGUGCGCCACUAAGGCCGAAGCCUUCGUUCGACUUGCAUGUGUUAGGCAUGCCGCCAGCGUUCGUUCUGAGCCAGGAUCAAACUCU
rnacentral:rRNA from 1 species